CUCUUUUCUGUCAGAUCUUAUAUUUACAUUACGUUUGUUUGGUUUUUCAGACUUUUGUUGUUGUCAUUUUUUUUUUUUAACGAAAAUGUUCUCUUUUUUCAUUUUUGAUGAUCCUGGACUUGACAACACUCAGCCCACACAUGCUCACCCUGCUGGACGGACGCACAAACACCAUUUUGUCUACAGGUUCCUUGACUCGGGCUGACAGCAGUCAGGUGGUAGCAGAGGAGCGACCAGGGUUUUAUGACAGAGGCCUACAUAGGUCAUUGGCUACACCAGUGGAAGUACAAUGAUGAUCAGCAAUGCUGCUGAUGCACUUAUUGACAGGAAACUCGGGGUCGAGUGCAUGCCAUCUCAUAAAAAUUACAACAAAGGCCAAAAGGCUUUUGCUUUGGUGCUUGUAGCAUUUUCCUUUGACCACCAAAUGUUCUUGUAAGAGCAAAGUGCGGAUAGAACAAAGAUGAGUAAAGGAGAAAUGCAAGUUAUUUAAAGUGCAUUUAAAAUGAGUGCAGAUGAGAUUAUAUAACUGCUUAAUUUACUAUUUAAAAAUGCAAAAGGGCUUAUGCUUACGGCGCAUACAAGCCAUUGAACUUGCAUGUGUUGAGAUGGGAGGAAAACCAUGUGAAUUAAACUACCAAGAUAAAAGCCAGGCUUCUCUCUGCUGUAAGGCUACAGUGCUAAACACAGAGCUACUGCCUUUAUGACUCAAAGAACUUCAUUUCCUUAGUUAAUCAUACAUCUUUCAAUAAUUUUGACAAACAAAAGUUGUGUCAGCUGGCAGAGAGAGUGUGGUGGUAGAUCAUACAAAAGAGAAAGGAGCUGUUUAAUGCCGAAAAGUGAGAAAAGUUUAAUGUGCAAAAAAAAAAGGCACUUUAAAGCAUGCAGAACCCAAAACAGCCUUGGAUUCAGGAUAUUCUGAAUUGCAGAUUUAAGCCUUUUUUGUGUUAUUUUUGGGGGGCUUUUAUGGCCUUUAAUUGACAGGAUAGCUUGAAGACAGGAAAGGGGAGAGAGAUGGGGUGACAUGCAGCAAAGGCUUCGAACCUGGGCCGCUGCCAAGGACUCAGCCUACCGAGGUCUUUUGUGUUCUUGAAUGUUCCCCUCUUUUUUACUUUGUGUUAUCACUGACCUGUUAUGGGAGCCUCUUUCCACUGAUGUCCAUGGAUUUUUUUUUUCUUCAGAUUUUAUCCCUCCAGAAGCUACAUGUCCGGCUAAGGAGUCCAUGAACAAGACCUGUUCAUUCCAACGCAGACACAUCCACAGUCAGACUCUUGGCGGCAGCAUGUCGCAGCUCAUGCAUAAGGAAGUAGUGAGCAGCAGACCUGAGGAGACAUUGUGUGUUAAAGAGAAGAUUCUCAAGCACUGAUGGAGGAAAAAGCAGAUCUGUGAGGAUGUCCUCAGCCUCUCGGUUCAAAAUUAUUACCAGUAAAUUUUAUCAUUAUUAUUGUAUUGCAUGGAACAACAAACAUCGUCUACAAUAGACUGUCUUUGCAGUAUAUCUACCAUGUUUAAUAAAGUUGCACAGAUGGGAACUGUACUCUGGGUUAAACAGAAAGGACUGCUGGCCUUGAGGAUGCAAAGACUAAUUGACAAUGAGAAACCGGUGGUUCAAUAAUCCUUAUUGAUCUUGUCCAUCACUAAACUGAAAGUUUACAGUUAACAGUGUCCACUAACUAUGUGCUUCCCGUGCUUAGAAAAAACAACUUCACAUGAUCUUCAGGUCUGUAACAUGUUUUUUUACGCUCACUGGAUGCUGGUUGCAAAGGUCGGGGAUAUAAAAUAGAUUUUGGUACAAGACGGACAAAUCAAACUGCUGAUUGCUGCAUGUUAAAAAAAAAACACAGACUGCACAACAAAUGUUAAUAUUGAUUGUAAUCACUUGAGACAAUGUGAAGUAGAAUGGAAAACUGUGAGCUAUUGAAUUAUGAAUCAAAUGCCAUGUUUGCAGUAAUGCCUCCAAACCCAUCAUGACAUUUGUUAAAUGCAGUCCUAUUACCAUGUAUUUCCAGCACUACAGUUAUUAUGAGGACAAUACAAAGAGACUCUACAGCUUCAUUGUGUUAUGCACUAUUGAGCAGUAUUAAUUACCUGACUAAUUUAAGAAUUAAAAGACAUAAAUAAUCCAUUGUAUUAUAAUAGUGUAAUUGCUCUUGGGGGAAUUGUUGGGUCUCUGUACAUUAUAGUGUGUAUUCUGUUAGGAUUUGACACUAUAAAUAAAAUUGAAUUAUUAUGAAAAUGUAACCAAAACCACCAUACCAUAGUUUUAUGACUACAGUACUGUGUACACUGUGUGUUUAACAUUGAUUAAACAGGAUUUUUGGGGUGUUCUGCAGAUUUGACACAGACUCUAUUGGCCAUAAAAUCAUAAUAAGUGAUGUUUUGAGCUCAGCAAUGCAGCAAAAGGAAGGAUGGAGCAAUAGAUGAGAAAUGUCUUCACAAUAAAAUGUUUUUUUUAAGUUC